rfam:Salmo salar isolate Sally breed double haploid chromosome ssa17, whole genome shotgun sequence.
UCUGUCAGCUGCUCAGUAGUCAGUGUAGAUCCUGUGGGGCAGUCAGCAGCUACAUCUGGCUACUGGGUCGCUGAUGGCUGCC